GAUGAACGCUGGCGGCGUGCCUAAUACAUGCAAGUCGAGCGAACAGACGAGGAGCUUGCUCCUCUGACGUUAGCGGCGGACGGGUGAGUAACACGUGGAUAACCGACCUAUAAGACUGGGAUAACUUCGGGAAACCGGAGCUAAUACCGGAUAAUAUAUUGAACCGCAUGGUUCAUUAGUGAAAGACGGAUUUGCUGUCACUUAUAGAUGUAUCCGCGCCGCAUUAGCUAGUUGGUAAGGUAACGGCUUACCAAGGCAACGAUGCGUAGCCGACCUGAGAGGGUGAUCGGCCACACUGGAACUGAGACACGGUCCAGACUCCUACGGGAGGCAGCAGUAGGGAAUAUUCGGCAAUGGGCGAAAGCCUGACGGAGCAACGCCGCGUGAGUGAUGAAGGUCUUCGGAUCGUAAAACUCUGUUAUUAGGGAAGAACAAAUGUGUAAGUAACUAUGCCCGUCUUGACGGUACCUACUCAGAAAGCCCCGGCUAACUACGUG
rnacentral:rRNA from 1 species